UACGGGGGGAGCAAGCGUUGUUCGGAUUUACUGGGCGUAAAGGGCGCGUAGGCGGCCACUGCAAGUCGACUGUGAAAUCUCCGGGCUUAACCCGGAAAGGUCAGCCGAUACUGCGGGGCUAGAGUGCAGAAGGGGCAACUGGAAUUCUCGGUGUAGCGGUGAAAUGCGUAGAUAUCAGGAGGAACACCGGUGGCGAAGGCGGGUCUCUGGGCCGAUACUGACGCUGAGGAGCGAAAGCGUGGGGAGCGAACAGG
rnacentral:rRNA from 1 species